UACGAAGGGGGCUAGCGUUGUUCGGAAUUACUGGGCGUAAAGCGCGUGUAGGCGGGUGGCUAAGUCAGGGGUGAAAUGCCGAGGCUCAACCUUGGAACUGCCUUUGAUACUGGCGAUCUGGAGUCCGGGAGAGGUGAGUGGAACUGCGAGUGUAGAGGUGAAAGUCGUAGAUAUUCGCAAGAACACCAGUGGCGAAGGCGGCUCACUGGCCCGGAACUGACGCUGAGACGCGAAAGCGUGGGGAGCAAACAGG
rnacentral:rRNA from 1 species